rnacentral:rRNA from 1 species
GAUGAACGCUGGCGGCGUGCCUAAUACAUGCAAGUCGAGCGAACGGACGAGAAGCUUGCUUCUCUGAUGUUAGCGGCGGACGGGUGAGUAACACGUGGAUAACCGACCUAUAAGACUGGGAUAACUUCGGGAAACCGUAGCUAAUACCGGAUAAUAUUUUGAACCGGAUGGUUCAAAAGUGAAAGACGGUCUUGCUGUCACUUAUAGAUGGAUCCGCGCUGCAUUAGCUAGUUGGUAAGGUAACGGCUUACCAAGGCAACGAUGCAUAGCCGACCUGAGAGGGUGAUCAGCCACACUGGAACUGAGACACGGUCCAGACUCCUACGGGAGGCAGCAGUAGGGAAUCUUCCGCAAUGGGCGAAAGCCUGACGGAGCAACGCCGCGUGAGUGAUGAAGGUCUUCGGAUCGUAAAACUCUGUUAUUAGGGAAGAACAUAUGUGUAAGUAACUGUGCACAUCUUGACGUUACCUAAUCAGAAAGCCACGGCUAACUACGUG